rnacentral:rRNA from 1 species
CUCGUAGGCGGCUCAGCAAGUCGGCCGUGAAAGUCCGGGGCUCAACCCCGGGAUGCCGGUCGAUACUGCUGUGGCUAGGGUCCGGUAGAGGAGAGUGGAAUUCCCGGUGUAGCGGUGAAAUGCGCAGAUAUCGGGAGGAACACCAGUAGCGAAGGCGGCUCUCUGGGCCGGUACCGACGCUGAGGAGCGAAAGCUAGGGGAGCGAACAGGAUUAGAUACCCUGGUAGUCCUAGCCGUAAACGUUGGGCACUAGGUGUGGCGGACUCAUUGACGUCUGCCGUGCCGCAGCUAACGCAUUAAGUGCCCCGCCUGGGGAGUACGGUCGCAAGGCUAAA